AGUGAACGCUGGCGGUAGGCCUAACACAUGCAAGUCGAACGGCAGCACCGUAAGAGCUUGCUCUUACGGGUGGCGAGUAGCGGACGGGUGAGGCAUACAUCGGAAUCUACUUUUUCGUGGGGGAUAACGUAGGGCAACUUACGCUAAUACCGCAUACGACCUACGGCUGACAGCAGGGGAUCUUCGGACCUUGCGCGUUUGAAUUCGCCGAUGUCGGCUUAGCUAGUUGGCGGGGUAAAGGCCCACCAAGUCGACGAUCCGUAGCUGGCCUGAGAGGAUGAUCAGCCACACUGAAAGGGAGACACGGUCCAGAAAGUGACGGGAGGCAGCAGGGGAGAAUAUUGGCCAAGGCGGGCAAGCCUGAUCCAGUCAUACCGCGUGGGUGAAGAAGGCUGGCGGGGUGUAAAGCCCUUUUGUUGGGAAAGAAAAGCAGCAGGUUAAUACCCCGCCGCUCGGACGGGACCAAAAGAAUAAGCACCGGCUAACUUCGG
rnacentral:rRNA from 1 species